CCUACGGGGUGCAGCAGUGGGGAAUAUUGGACAAUGGGCGAAAGCCUGAUCCAGCCAUGCCGCGUGUGUGAAGAAGGCCUUCGGGUUGUAAAGCACUUUCAGUGGGGAAGAAAGCCUUGGGGCUAAUACCCUCGAGGAAGGACAUCACCCACAGAAGAAGCACCGGCUAACUCCGUGCCAGCAGCCGCGGUAAUACGGAGGGUGCGAGCGUUAAUCGGAUUUACUGGGCGUAAAGCGCGCGUAGGCGGUCUGAUAAGCCGGUUGUGAAAGCCCCGGGCUCAACCUGGGAACGGCAUCCGGAACUGUCAGGCUAGAGUGCAGGAGAGGAAGGUAGAAUUCCCGGUGUAGCGGUGAAAUGCGUAGAGAUCGGGAGGAAUACCAGUGGCGAAGGCGGCCUUCUGGACUGACACUGACGCUGAGGUGCGAAAGCGUGGGUAGCAAACAGGAUUAGAUACCCGGGUAGUC
rnacentral:rRNA from 1 species